rnacentral:tRNA from 1 species
GCUGGUGUGGCUCAGUGGUUGAGCAUCAGACUUUGAAACUGGAGGUUACGGUUCGAUUCCGAUUCCCGGUC